rnacentral:rRNA from 1 species
AUUGAACGCUGGCGGCAGGCCUAACACAUGCAAGUCGAACGAGUGGCGGACGGGUGAGUAAUGUCUGGGAAACUGCCCGAUGGCGGGGGAUAACUACUGGAAACGGUAGCUAAUACCGCAUACCAUCAGAUCUGCCCAGAUGUGAUUAGCUUGUGGGUGGGGUAACGGCUCACCAAGGCGACUAUCCCUAGCUGGUAUGAGAGGCUGACCAGCCACACUGGAACUGAGACACGCUCCAGACUCCUACGCGAGGCAGCAGUGGGGAAUAUUGCGCAAUGGGCGCAAGCCUGAUGCAGCCAUGCCGCGUGUAUGAUGAAGGCCUUCGGGUUGUAAAGUACUUUCAGCGGGGAGGCGUUACCCGCAGAAGAAGCACCGGCUAACUCCGUGCCAGCAGCCGCGGUAAUUC